AUUGCCAACCGAGCACGCUAGCCGCUGUUAUUUCGACAGAAUAUGAUACCUUUACACUUUUCAGCUGUAAUUUUCAGCGCGCACUGUAAUCAUAUACAUAUCGUUUAAUUUAGCUUCAAAAACUUGAUAAAAAACAUGUUAUUCGUGUUCGUUCCCGCGGAGCACAAUGGUGUCAUAGUCAGUUACCAAAGGCAGAGCACAUGCCAAGUCGCCUUGGUAUAAAUCAUGUAUGUAACGGGAAAUCUUGCUUAUUUCAGUCGAAUAAAGUCAACCUUUUUUCUUUGAUAAUGUACGCAACAUGCUGCGCAUUUUACAUUUAACAAAACAAGUUUUUGAAGCUAAAUUAAACGAUAUGAAUAAUUCAUCAAUAUGUCAUGAUUACAAUCCGCGCAUUUGUAUUACGGCUGAAAAGUGUAGAGGUAUCAUAUUCUGUCAAAAUAACAGCGGCUAGCGCGCUCGGUUGGCAAA
rnacentral:miRNA from 1 species